GCUGUAAUCGUAUAGUGGUUAGUAUGCCGUGUUGUGGUUGCAGCAACCUCGGUUUGAAUCCAGGUCAGGGCA